rnacentral:rRNA from 1 species
UAUCAACUUUCGAGGUAGGAUAGAGGCCUACCAUGGUGGUAACGGGUAACGGGGAAUUAGGGUUCGAUUCCGGAGAGGGAGCCUGAGAAACGGCUACCACAUCCAAGGAAGGCAGCAGGCGCGCAAAUUACCCAAUCCCGACACGGGGAGGUAGUGACAAUAAAUAACAAUACGGGGCUCUUUCGGGUCUCGUAAUUGGAAUGAGUACAAUUUAAAUCCCUUAACGAGGAACAAUUGGAGGGCAAGUCUGGUGCCAGCAGCCGCGGUAAUUCCAGCUCCAAUAGCGUAUAUUAAAGUUGUUGCAGUUAAAAAGCUCGUAGUUGAAUUUCGGGAUUGACACAUCGGUCGUGCCUUAAGGGGUAUGAACUGGUGUAGUCAAUUUCUCACCUUCUGGAGAACGGCGAUGCCCUUAAUUGGGUGUCGCGGGGAACCAGGACCUUUACUUUGAAAAAAUUAGAGUGUUUAAAGCAGGCAUUUUGCUUGAAUACAUUAGCAUGGAAUAAUAAAAUAGGACGGCAUGAUUCUAUUUUGUUGGUUUCUAGGAUCACCGUAAUGAUUAAUAGGGAUAGUUGGGGGCAUUAGUAUUCAAUUGUCAGAGGUGAAAUUCUUGGAUUUAUUGAAGACUAACUACUGCGAAAGCAUUUGCCAAGGAUGUUUUCAUUAAUCAAGAACGAAAGUUAGGGGAUCGAAGACGAUCAGAUACCGUCGUAGUCUUAACCAUAAACUAUGCCGACUAGGAAUCAGACGAUGUUAAUUUUUUAAUGACUCGUUUGGCACCUUACGGGAAACCAAAGUGUUUGGGUUC